UACGUAGGGGGCAAGCGUUGUCCGGAAUUAUUGGGCGUAAAGAGCGUGUAGGCGGUCCGGUAAGUCAGCUGUGAAAGUCAGGGGCUUAACCCCUGAAUGCGGGUGGAUACUGCUGGGCUAGAGUCCGGAAGAGGCGAGUGGAAUUCCUGGUGUAGCGGUGAAAUGCGCAGAUAUCAGGAGGAACACCGAUGGCGAAGGCAGCUCGCUGGGACGGUACUGACGCUGAGGCGCGAAAGCGUGGGGAGCAAACAGG
rnacentral:rRNA from 1 species